AACUGCCAUCUGUUAAUGAGAAAAAAUGAAUAUGUAAAAAUUGCAAAGAUUAACCCUUUACAGCCACAUGGUUCCAAAUGGCACCAUAAUAAACAUGUCAGUAUUUUCCCAAUGGUUCCACAUGGAACUACAUUUUGGAUAUGUAAAACUCUUCUUAGUGUAUAAUACUCUUAUUGGGAAGCAGUUUUAGUCUUAUCUUGCCCCCUGAUGGCCUGCAACACAAUUACUUAUUAGUUGAUGUUGAAUGCUGUUGUAGUGAAAACUUUGCUGACAAAUUUGUUGUAAUUAAAUGUGAGUGGGUAUAUUUUAUUUUGUGAAAUAAUUUCUGUGCAUAGUUAAGGUCUCUAGCAUGUAUGUUAUUCACUUUUUGAUUUACUUUGACUUACACUUUAUCACUUAGAGCAAAUAAUAUACCUGAUUCCAUUUGACAUCAUUGGGCAUUCAAGAUGGCCGCAAUUUGUCAUAGGCGUACAAAUGAAAACUGAUUCGUGACGUUGCUUGAGGAUGAUAUUUCAGAUAUAGAUAUUGAUGAAUCGAAUGUGGAGGUGGAAAAUAAUAUUCCUGCUGCGAGUGACAGAAAUAGACAUGAUACCACCAGAUAUUGGACUUAACAUAGAAAUAGAAGAAGAAAGAAAUGAUGACUAUUCUGGCAUUGCCCUUGAUGAACUUGAAGAUAAUGCCUUAGCAGAUGAUAAUGAGGAGGAAGAGGGAGAUAAGGCCAAUGAUAUCACUAAUGUUACAUGAACAAUUCCUAAGUGGAAUAAAAAAGACCUAGAUCCAGUAAAUAUUGACUGUGUGAACAAUUCUUCCAAUAAACAUGCCUACUCCUGCAGAGUACUUCUGCAUGUUUUUUGAUAAGAUAUUACAGAAUUUUAUGGAACAAACUAAUUUGUACUCAACCCAGAGACAGAAUUAUCAAUAAACACCACAUUCGAGGAGAU
rnacentral:lncRNA from 1 species